AACGAGGCCGACCUGCGGCUGAGUUACCUGCGGAAGGAUCAUUACCGAGUUUACAACUCCCAAACCCCUGUGAACAUACCUAUACGUUGCCUCGGCGGAUCAGCCCGCGCCCUGUAAAAAGGGACGGCCCGCCCGAGGACCCUAAACUCUGUUUUUAGUGGAACUUCUGAGUAAAACAAACAAAUAAAUCAAAACUUUUAACAAUGGAUCU
rnacentral:misc_RNA from 1 species